rnacentral:rRNA from 1 species
UGGAUCCAGACUUUGAUCAUGGCUCAGGACGAACGCUGGCGGCGCGCCUAACACAUGCAAGUCGAACGAGCGAGAGAGAGCUUGCUUUCUCGAGCGAGUGGCGAACGGGCGAGUAACGCGUGAGGAACCUGCCUCAAAGAGGGGGACAACAGUUGGAAACGACUGCUAAUACCGCAUAAGCCCACGGGUCGGCAUCGACCAGAGGGAAAAGGAGCAAUCCGCUUUGAGAUGGCCUCGCGUCCGAUUAGCUAGUUGGUGAGGUAACGGCCCACCAAGGCAACGAUCGGUAGCCGGACUGAGAGGUUGAACGGCCACAUUGGGACUGAGACACGGCCCAGACUCCUACGGGAGGCAGCAGUGGGGUAUAUUGCACAAUGGGGGAAACCCUGAUGCAGCGACGCCGCGUGGAGGAAGAAGGUCUUCGGAUUGUAAACUCCUGUUGUUGAGGAAGAUAAUGACGGUACUCAACAAGGAAGUGACGGCUAACUACGUGCCAGCAGCCGCGGUAAAACGUAGGUCACAAGCGUUGUCCGGAAUUACUGGGUGUAAAGGGAGCGCAGGCGGGAAGACAAGUUGGAAGUGAAAUCCAUGGGCUCAACCCAUGAACUGCUUUCAAAACUGUUUUUCUUGAGUAGUGCAGAGGUAGGCGGAAUUCCCGGUGUAGCGGUGGAAUGCGUAGAUAUCGGGAGGAACACCAGUGGCGAAGGCGGCCUACUGGGCACCAACUGACGCUGAGGCUCGAAAGUGUGGGUAGCAAACAGGAUUAGAUACCCUGGUAGUCCACACCGUAAACGAUGAUUACUAGGUGUUGGAGGAUUGACCCCUUCAGUGCCGCAGUUAACACAAUAAGUAAUCCA